UACGAAGGGCCCAAGCGUUAUCCGGAUUUAUUGGGUUUAAAGGGUGCGUAGGCGGUCUAUUAAGUCAGUGGUGAAAGCCCCAAGCUCAACUUGGGAACUGCCAUUGAUACUGAUGGACUUGAGUACAUUUGAGGUGGGCGGAAUGUGUCAUGUAGCGGUGAAAUGCUUAGAUAUGACACAGAACACCGAUUGCGAAGGCAGCUUACUACACAGUUAUUGACGCUGAGGCACGAAAGCGUGGGGAUCAAACAGG
rnacentral:rRNA from 1 species